AGCCAAAAAAAGACCGAAUACGAUUCCUGUAUUCGGUCCAGGGAAAUGGCUCUUGGGAGAGAGCCGUGCGCUAAAAGUUGGCAUUAAUGCAGGCUAAGUCGCCAUGCACUUUAAGAAUAGAUGACGACGCCAGGUUUUCCAGUUU
rnacentral:sRNA from 2 species